rnacentral:lncRNA from 7 species
UCAGGACUGGAGAAAAAAGUAUGAUUGGGCUGUGUGAACUGGGGAAUUGGUAGUGCAAGCACCAAGAAAUCUAGCUGAUUCUACUACUGCGGCACAGUUCUAAGAGACAAUUGGAAGAAGUGUUAACAAAACCAAGAUGGAUUGUAUUAAUCAGUGGCAAAGGAAGAGGAGGCAGUGAACAGCUGCGGUUCCUUGAAGAAGAAAUCUCAGCACCAAAGAGAUUGUACCUAAUACAUCUGUGGAAGUGACUGCACUUGUCUGAGGUUUACUCUGACAUAUAGAAAACGUCUAUGGUGGUGGAAAACUCCUUACUUCGUGGGUUGUUCUAUGAUGUUCUGCUGGAAAAAGUAGCUGAAGCAGGGAAGGGAGAGAACUGCUAUAAUACUGGAACAGAAUAAUUAGUCAUUUCUAAGUCUGGCACCUAAAGCAGUGAAGAAGGUUGUGUCUCCAUGUGAAAUGCAGCAGUCAGCAUUUCUUACACAGAUGAAAAAGGAAAGAUGUCAGGAAAUGAGGAUAUGCCAAACUCUGGAUCGUACACUCUGCACAUACACUAAGGGACACUUCCUGAUUUAUCAUUGACUACAGAAUAGCUUUUGAAUAGCCCUUUAUGUAUGUACAGAAGGUAUUCUGGUUUGUUUGUUUGUUUGUUUUGUGUAGGAGAGGAAGACACGAUGCUCAGAUGUUUUCUACUCUUAUGAUACAGAAAAGAAAGAAUGUGAAUAUUUUCUUUCAAAAUCCAAAUAGAGAUCCACAAAUGUCAGAAAUAUACUACAACAUGAUUUUGCAUUCUCAAUGUGUCUGUAUUUUGUUUUUAAAGAACAAAAAAAGUGUAUGUGUUUUAAGUAUAGUGACGGUGGAGGUAACUUCAUAUAUAUAUUUUCUGUUGCUUGUGAGAAUGAGAAGAUAUACAUACACACAAUAGGGAUAGCAUUGAAUAAGAACUGAACAUGUCUUAAGGAACAGUAACAAAAAGAGAACAAUUUCUUUAACUUUAAAAUAGAAAUCAUUGGUAUGUUGCUUUCCUUAAAAAAGAAAACAAACAAAAAGCCAGUGAAUUGUUAAUUGCCUCAGGCAUAUAUAAGCACCCAGUCUGACAAAGACCUGUGUCUAAUUUUAUGCAUGAGAAUAGCCCAGUUGAUGUCUUUGGAGCUAAAAGCGUAUCAAGCAGUGCCUGUGGAUAUAGUACUGAAAGCACUGGACACCACAUUGUUUUAAGCAAAAAAUAACAUUUUAUUUUUUAACCACUUGAAAAAUCAGCACUCGAUGUCUUGUAUUAUUUUACACAAGAGGAAUAUAUACAUUAGUAGAACAGCUCUAUCAAAAAAAUUAUUUACUACAAGCUUACAAUUGCAUCAAACAACAUUGUAUUAAAAAAUACCAAAUCAGUAAAUAUUAGUUGUUGGUGUUGAUCUAAUAUGUUAAAACAUAACCAUUUAAGUGUUAGGUUUUAUAAAUCAUUGUUUUCUAGACAAUUCCGUAUAUGGAAGUUGAGAAUAAAUUUGCAGCUCUAUCUGUGCUUUUUCUCUGUUUAUGAGCUGAUGUC